rnacentral:tRNA from 1 species
GCCAGGAUGGCGGAGUAGUCAAACGCAACGGUCUGUAAAACCGUCGGCCGCAAGGCCUACUUAGGUGCGAAUCCUAAUCCUGGCA